UUAGACUUUGUAAAGAAUAUAUAACUACACAGACUGGUGCUGUCACUUGUUGAUAUGCCUCUGUGACCAAGUGAUCAACACGUUUCUUCCCAUCCACGUCUUAUCUUCGAAUAACGACACUGCUUCCAGCCUCCAAGAGGCUAGAGGGAUUGGGAGCUCUGCUUUAGUCUCCUCCUGCAGCGUAUUCUUUGCUCAUUCAUCUACUUGUUCAUUUGGUUUGACUGCCCCAAAUACCAGCCUCAGACGUUCCAGCAGUGCUGGGAGGUGAACCCUGAAGACAGAGGUCCACUGGCAGGCACUGGGAUCCUGGCUCUGCACACAUUGCACGAGGCCUUCAUCAGAAGUCACCAGAUGCAGCAGGACAAUCUGGAGCUUCCCAGCCUGCAGAAUUGUGAGCUACAUCAACUUCUCUUCUUCAUAAACUACCCAGUCUUAGGAAUAACGUUAUAGCAACACAAAAUGAACUAAGACAAGUGAAAUGGUUUGUUACAGCUCACUAAAAUUCGGAAAAAAAGAAACCGUCCAGUAACUUCAGUGUACACUAUUAACUUGUAGGAGAGGCGUCAUGAUGUACUACAGAAGACAGACAUGAACUGGUUCAAACUGUGGCGGUGCCACUUGUUACCUUGUUACCCAGCACAAGCAUGUAGGUCCUGACAUGAGCUGGGAACGUGCUGUCCCUCUAAGUGCAUACUCUUUACAUAUCUGUCCCUCAUUUAGAGGCUGAGUGCUACAGGGUGAUGGGCAAAGGAGGCUCUUUUCUACACUGCCAGCACUUUAGCUGGAGCCCAGACCUGCAAACCCUAAUGCUGCAAAACAGAAGCUCUAUCAUUAACCUCACGUCUUCCUUAGAAGGCACACUGUGCCCUUCUGUUGCUAUUUGAUCAUGCACUACAGGAAGGGUCCCACUUUUGCACUUCCAUGCCUUUCCAGGCAGCCUAUCAAACCACUCUUUCAACCUCUCCUUGAGGAAAAUCCUGACCAUUGUCACUUCUUCCAUCAUGAUAUAUUUCCAGGAUAUUUUAGUAUCCCUUACAGAUUGUUCACGCAGAUGAUGGCCUGGCUGGCGUGCCACUUAAGCUCUGUUUUAUGUCCUUAGACAAAUUACUAAAUCCCUCUGCUAUAUUUUCUGGCCCAUAAAGUGGGGACAAAAUCCAUUUAUCUCACACAACUGUUAAAAACUAAAGGUGGUGUAGUACACUGUGUGUUAUGAGAAUAAGUCAAUAAAAUUAAUGCUUAUUAAUGUUUCUAUCAUAAUUACUUUUAUCUUUCGAGAUCGAUUUUUAAAAAUUCUAUGACAUCCAGGAAAUGCAAAUUAACUUGCAAUUAAAGUAAAUAGAAUUUGACUGAGGAAGGGAACUUUGCACUGAUAAUGGUUUGUAACCUGUUGCAUUGUUCUCUUCUAUGGUUGUGAAUAGCCAAUUAAGCACAUUCAGGAUUUAGAA